rnacentral:rRNA from 1 species
GACGAACGCUGGCGGCGUGCUUAACACAUGCAAGUCGAACGGAAAGGCCCUGCUUUUGUGGGGUGCUCGAGUGGCGAACGGGUGAGUAACACGUGAGUAACCUGCCCUUGACUUUGGGAUAACUUCAGGAAACUGGGGCUAAUACCGGAUAGGAGCUCCUGCUGCAUGGUGGGGGUGGGAAAGUUUCGGCGGUUGGGGAUGGACUCGCGGCUUAUCAGCUUGUUGGUGGGGUAGUGGCUUACCAAGGCUUUGACGGGUAGCCGGCCUGAGAGGGUGACCGGCCACAUUGGGACUGGGAUACGGCCCAGACUCCUACGGGAGGCAGCAGUGGGGAAUAUUGCACAAUGGGCGGAAGCCUGAUGCAGCAACGCCGCGUGCGGGAUGACGGCCUUCGGGUUGUAAACCGCUUUCGCCUGUGACGAAGCGUGAGUGACGGUAAUGGGUAAAGAAGCACCGGCUAACUACGU